rnacentral:rRNA from 1 species
UUGACCUCGGAUCAGGUAGGAAUACCCGCUGAACUUAAGCAUAUCAAAAAGGCCGGAGGAA